AGCGUAUGAAAAAUAUCACACAUACCCUGGUAUACGCUGACAUACUCUAGUUUGUGCGUAUUCGGACUUAUGCUUUAUACGAUAAGCAUACUCUAGCCGGCACACGCUGAAUACGCUAGAGGUACGCCAGAUGCAUGUGCGGUACUCGCUGGCAUUUCAAAGGAUUUUUGUGCGUAUGCAAAUUAUUUCUGUCAUUAAUUUUCAUACGUUUCUCUCAUACGCAAUAGUGUGACAGGGCCUUUAAAACAUUCAGGAAUGCGACCAAAUGUCUAAUGUUGUAAAGUUGACAUCGUGCGAAUGCCAACAUCUGAUUGGUCGGCGAGAAAUUAUAUUGACAUGCAUUUAAAAAAUAUUUUCACGUUUUACCAAUAAUUGGCGUAGGAAUACAAUCCCAUUCCGAUAUGUUUUAACACGAAAAUUUUUGGUUUUGGUAAUGUUGGCGCAAUGAAGCAAUCAUCCAAUCGUUGAAAUUAAUCAGCAAAUUUUCAUAAGAUUUUUGCAUACUGAUGUCGUCUGAACAUAAACCCUAAUCCAUCAUUCAAGACAUUAUGAAAUGUUCAGUGUUUGUAGACCAUAUGCCGAUUAACUAUAUGCAUAAUAAAGACAUCAAAUUCCAGUUUCCGUGUGAUUUACAUAAUCAUGUUGUACUUCAUUUAGCUGACUAUAUACAUGAACACCACUCUCUCCCUCUCCAAGCCUUUUGAGAGCUAUAUCAGCCGACUGUUCAUUGUCAACUUGUUCAUAAAUGCUGUCAGCAUCAUCAUCCCUGUAUAUGUGCCGAUUAUCUUGUGAAUUAUUUCCGUCAUUUAUCUCCUCCACGUUUGCCUUAGUGCUUGAUGAUUUGAGUCGACGAAUUUGAUAAACCAAAUACGCAAUAAUAACAAAUAAAAUGACCAGCGAUGUUGCUAAUACCACAAUUCCAGCAAGACUUUUAAUAGAACCAUCAUCAUUUUCGUUGUUCCCUGAAACUUGAUGAUUAAGUAAUAUACCAUGUAUUGUUAAUAAAAGAAUUUACGUGUGAUUGCUCGCUAUUCUGCGUUUGAAUUAAAGUUAACUGAAGAAUCAGAAUGUAAUUUUCAAACAAACUAGUUAGCAAGCGAAG
rnacentral:lncRNA from 1 species